AGUGAACGCUGGCGGUAGGCCUAACACAUGCAAGUCGAACGGCAGCACAGUAAGAGCUUGCUCUUACGGGUGGCGAGUGGCGGACGGGUGAGGAAUACAUCGGAAUCUACUUUUUCGUGGGGGAUAACGUAGGGAAACUUACGCUAAUACCGCAUACGACCUACGGCUGAAAGCAGGAGAUCUUCGGACCUUGCCCGAUUCAAUGAGCCGAUGUCGGAUUAGCUAGUUGGCGGGGUAAAGGCCCACCAAGGCGACGAUCCGUAGCUGGUCUGAGAGGAUGAUCAGCCACACUGGAACUGAGACACGGUCCAGACUCCUACGGGAGGCAGCAGUGGGGAAUAUUGGGCAAUGGGCGCAAGCCUGAUCCAGCCAUACCGCGUGGGUGAAGAAGGCCUUCGGGUUGUAAAGCCCUUUUGUUGGGAAAGAAAAGCAGCAGGUUAAUACCCCGCUGUUCUGACGGUACCCAAAGAAUAAGCACCGGCUAACUUCGUG
rnacentral:rRNA from 1 species